rnacentral:rRNA from 1 species
GACGAACGCUGGCGGCGCGCCUAACACAUGCAAGUCGAACGAGCGAGAGAGAGCUUGCUUUCUCGAGCGAGUGGCGAACGGGUGAGUAACGCGUGAGGAACCUGCCUCAAAGAGGGGGACAACAGUUGGAAACGACUGCUAAUACCGCAUAAGCCCACGGUGCCGCAUGGCACAGAGGGAAAAGGAGCAAUCCGCUUUGAGAUGGCCUCGCGUCCGAUUAGCUAGUUGGUGAGGUAACGGCCCACCAAGGCGACGAUCGGUAGCCGGACUGAGAGGUUGAACGGUCACAUUGGGACUGAGACACGGCCCAGACUCCUACGGGAGGCAGCAGUGGGGAAUAUUGCACAAUGGGGGAAACCCUGAUGCAGCGACGCCGCGUGGAGGAAGAAGGUCUUCGGAUUGUAAACUCCUGUUGUUGGGGAAGAUAAU